AGCCAAAAGGGGUGCCAGCUACAGACUGGAGCCCACGGAGAGAGGCUGGGGUAUUUCUUCCCUCCUCUCUGUCUGACCGCACCCUGGCCUGGCAGAUCUGCCUGCCUCUGAGAGGACAAUUCUUAUUGGGCUUCCUUUUCCAUUGUAUCUUGUCAAGCUCCAGGAACUACUGUUCUCUGCCCCAUGCCUCUUAAGCCUGGGGAAGUGAGGUCUGCCUCCCAUUGUUGCUGGUCCCUGGGUAACAGCAUCCUCUGAUGGCUGUUGAACCAGGACUGCACUGCAGCAAAUGGUCCCUUCAUCACAUUCUCUUCCAAAUUUCCUCCCAAGAAUGCCUUCUGCUUCCUGUCAGGACCCCAACUGCUAGUUUGGGGUUUUGAGUAGCUAUCUACUUGAAAACGGACAUUUGGAGUGUGUAGAUGUGUGUGGAAGAACAGAACCGGAGACCACUUAAGGCGGCUGGGUAAAGGCGGCCUGUCUUUCAAGAGUGUCUGUUUCAUUCCAUGAUUAAUGUUAAUUUCGUGUUGUAGUAGACACCAUGGUUACCAGUGCAGCAACCAUGCCCUUUUUUCUUGCUGGCAGAAACACACCUUGGUCCAGGUGUCGGCCUUCUACAUGGCUAGGGUAAACUGUUUCAUGUGGAGCUAAUCUUGGUAACUCCACUUUUCCUGUAAUUAGUUUAAAACAAGUUUAAGCUAAUGAAUCCUGAUGUUGGGAAAAGUUUCCUCACUCUUAAAAAAAAGGCAUAUAAAGAAGAAAUAUUCCUUGAUGCCUGCUGGAUGUUGUCUGUCUGGAUGUGAUGUCUGGCUUUUUGCAGCCUCUUACAUCCCUGACCGGAGGUAACCUGAGGAACCCUGGGGAUGACAGUGGAAAAUGGGAAGACUAUGGGUCCUUAAUGAAACGAUUGAACCAUUAACCAAUCCUGCUGUGGCCCUAAUAAGGGAUUUCAUAUCAUGAAAAUAAUAGAUAUCCUUAUUGAGUUGGAUUUUUUGGUUACUAGAGGCUAACAGCAUUUAAACUUGAAGCCUAUUUAAACAAACCAGAGAAGAUUCCAUAUAAGUAACAGAAGACCCAACUCGCUCUUGAGAAUCAUUUGUUUUUUUUAAUUUAAUAAAUCUUUAUUGCUCAAAUUAUUACAAUUGUUUCUCCUCCCCUCCCAUAGCUUCCUUCCACCCUGUUCCCACCCCACCCUCUGCCCUUACCUCCCUCCAGUUGUCCUCAUCCAUACAUGUACGAUUUUAAUCAGUCUCUUCCUGCACCACCCAUACUCCUUUCCCCCUGAAAAUUAUCAAUCCACUCCCUCUCUUUGCCAUUGGAGAAUCAUUUAUUUCUGUAUAAUAAGCCAUCACACACUGGGGAGCUUAAAUAACAUGAGGUACUAUUUCUCAGGA